rnacentral:rRNA from 1 species
AUGAACGCUGGCGGCGUGCCUAAUACAUGCAAGUCGCGCGAACGGACGAGAAGCUUGCUUCUCUGAUGUUAGCGGCGGACGGGUGAGUAACACGUGGAUAACCUACCUAUAAGACUGGGAUAACUUCGGGAAACCGGAGCUAAUACCGGAUAAUAUUUUGAACCGCAUGUUUCAAAAGUGAAAGACGGUCUUGCUGUCACUUAUAGAUGGAUCCGCGCUGCAUUAGCUAGUUGGUAAGGUAACGGCUUACCAAGGCAACGAUGCAUAGCCGACCUGAGAGGGUGAUCGGCCACACUGGAACUGAGACACGGUCCAGACUCCUACGGGAGGCAGCAGUAGGGAAUCUUCCGCAAUGGGCGAAAGCCUGACGGAGCAACGCCGCGUGAGUGAUGAAGGUCUUCGGAUCGUAAAACUCUGUUAUUAGGGAAGAACAUAUGUGUAAGUAACUGUGCACAUCUUGACGGUACCUAAUCAGAAAGCCACGGCUAACUACGUG